AUUGAACGCUGGCGGCAGGCCUAACACAUGCAAGUCGAGCGAGCGGCGGACGGGUGAGUAAUGUCUGGGAAACUGCCUGAUGUAGGGGGAUAACUACUGGAAACGGUAGCUAAUACCGCAUACCAUCAGAUCUGCCCAUAUGGGAUGAGCUAGUAGGGGGGGUAAUGGCUCACCUAGGCGACGAUCCCUAGCUGGUCUGAGAGGAUGACCAGCCACAGUGGAACUGGGACACGGUCAGGACUACUACGGUAGGCAGCAGGGGGGAAUAUUGCACAAUGGGCGCAAGCCGUGUGCAGCCAUGCCGUGUGUGUGAUGAAUGCCGUAGGGUUGUGAAGCAAUUUCGGCGGGGAGGCGUUACACGCAGAAGAAGCACCGGCUAACUUCGUGCCAGCAGCCGCGGUAAUAC
rnacentral:rRNA from 1 species